CCGGGGGAGUCUCGGGCGGCGGUGUCCUUGAAAUUAACUGGAACAUCGAAGGAAAAAAAAAAAAUCUGAGAUUUAUUUAGAGGCAGGAGUCUAAAAAUGUCGCAGCGGCGUCUGGAGCCGGGCUGUGAAGGGACCGGGUGUGCGGGACCGGGGCGCUGCCGGCGAAGGAGGGGGAUUGUAAAACGUGGGGUUUGGCACAGCUUGUGUGACGUCCCGUUAUUUUGCUGCCCCGGUUUUAGUGUGGUUAAUUAUGAGUAACACCAGUGAAAUCCAUGAGACCCGUGUUCACCUAGAGACACUGGAGAACAGGAAACGAGUGAAGGAGCCGGUGCUGCGCAACAACACAUGAUCCCAGUUCCUCUUCACCAUUAAAACCUCGCCUGUAACAUGGGAUUAUGAAGAUGGCUGUUGCGUUGCAGAGCAAGAUCUCAUCUUGCAAACAGAUGACACGAACAGAGAACUUGCACAGGCCAUGCCUGCCUUCUGUGCUACUCCAUCCACAUCAGCAGGAUCCCUAUGUCUGAGCAGGCCGAGACUGAGCUCCAAGGCAGCAGCACCACCUGACCAUGGACUGCAGCGGGUUUGGAGGCUGCCAUGGUGAGCAAGGGGAAGAGGCAGCAGGAAUAAAGCAAACUCCAAAAUGACAGUUUUACUGGCCUGGGACUAAAAUCUUCAGCAUAAUUAGAGAAAAGACAAGUACAGAAAGCAAAGUAUAUCUUGGCAAAUAAACACUUGUACCUGCUGGUACAACAUGUGGUGUUCUGCACAGGCAGCUGGGGACAGACAACAGGGAACAUCACUGGAACCAAAGUGGGAAGGUGAGCCGGGAACUAGUGCAUGAAUCUGAGAAUCACGAUUCUGAUGGCAACAUGCAAUUACUACCUGGCAGCAGCCAGAGUGAGCCCAGCUCUCCCACCGAGAGCAGAGAGGCAGCAGAGCCAACUGAGACAGAUCCUGCCAUGCAGCUCUCUGUACCACAGCCAGGAAGGGAUUAGCCUUUACUCUUGCUGUAAUGCCUCCAGUUAUUACAGCUAAGAUUUGGUACUACAUAUGCAAUUAUUAUAACACAGAUACACUUUGCAAUCUACCUUCCCACAGAUUUAGAGGCUUUUAAGACAGUGAUAAUCCUUUCUGUCAAUAUCUUAAUUAACACUUCACUAGUUGAUUAGCUUGUAAUGUAUUUUACCUAGUUCUCUAACCCAGUUCUAAAAUAUAUUAUUAGCACUUUGAAAAUAAUAAAGUAACAGCUAAACUUUCAAAGUCAAUAUUAACAUCUCUAUAUGGAAAUUUAGUUCAAAUAAUUGCUGUAUUUUUGAGAAAGCAAGGGGUACUGUCCAGAGUGAUGUCAUUUUACUCUUACUCCAUAAAUACACAGUUCCUGCUCAAGUAAAUUAAUUUACUACCUCUCAAAAAAAAUACAAUCUUCAAAUACAGACAUAAUGUUUUACAGCUGACAACUUCUGAGUAAUUACAAAAAUCAGUGUUUAUUUACAGACUACAAUUCAAAUACUUUCAUUAUAUUAUUCUACCAGGUGCAUUUCAGCUGCCUUGCCAUUUUUCCAUUUUUUUGUUUGGUUGGGUUUUUCUUUUUGUUCUUAUUGUUCAAUACAUUUUUAGUCCUAUUUAAAA